rnacentral:rRNA from 1 species
GCCCACCAAGGCUACGAUGUCUAGGGGCUCUGAGAGGAGAAUCCCCCACACUGGUACUGAGACACGGACCAGACUCCUACGGGAGGCAGCAGUAAGGAAUAUUGGUCAAUGGAGGGAACUCUGAACCAGCCAUGCCGCGUGCAGGAUGACUGCCCUAUGGGUUGUAAACUGCUUUUGUCAGGGAAUAAACCUUUCCACGUGUGGGAAGCUGAAUGUACCUGAAGAAUAAGGAUCGGCUAACUCCGUGCCAGCAGCCGCGGUAAUACGGAGGAUCCAAGCGUUAUCCGGAUUUAUUGGGUUUAAAGGGUGCGUAGGCGGUCCUAUAAGUCAGUGGUGAAAGACGGCAGCUUAACUGUCGCAGUGCCUUUGAUACUGUAGGACUUGAAUCUAUUUGAAGUGGGCGGAAUAAGACAAGUAGCGGUGAAAUGCAUAGAUAUGUCUUAGAACUCCGAUUGCGAAGGCAGCUCACUAAGUUAGUAUUGACGCUGAUGCACGAAAGCGUGGGGAU